rnacentral:lncRNA from 1 species
UCCGAGUUCCACAGCUUCCAGCUCCGGGGAAGGGGAGGAGAGGGGCCUUCACCUCUACGGGUGUCCCCCUUCCCUGAGGGUCCCUGGGAAGUCGCUGGCUGAGGCCGCCCGCAGUUUCUCACGUCGAAGGGCAGCGUGAACCUCGGCUUCUUACUGCGCAGCCGGAGGCACCCGGGGCCAGGAGCGGAAGUCCGAGGGGACCCCACGGCGGAGGAGCGGCAGAGCCCGGGCCCCGCGGGAGAGAGAGGCGGGAGCCUCUCUUGAUCGGCGGAUUCCACUUACUGUGACUAUCCAGUCUCCCCUAGGCCUUUGGACAUCUGAAAGGCAGCGUGGAGUUUAUCUAGUCUUACCUGUCAGAGCCAAGAGCCUUCUUUCUCCUAAGCUGACCUUAGUAUCUCC